AGCCAAGCCCUCGAACUGCUCUCCGCGGCAAGAAAAGAUGUUUACAAAUUAUUCCGUUCCAGUUCACUGUCCAGUCAGACCUCCGCGUCACAGCUUCCGAGGAAAAUAAAGCGCUAUAGAACGGUAGGUACCAUGUGAGCUGCAAUAACUGCAGGUCUAGGCCACGGUGAACAGAGUGUCAGGGAUGCCAGCUGAUUAAAACACCACUGACAAAGAUAACUCCUUGGACUUAUCAUUACUAAUAAGUAAUUAUUAUUGAUAAUAAGUCCAUGCUUGCCCGCAUCCCUCCUACUAUCAUUACAUUAAUUUUG